AGCAAGGGCACUCUGUGUCACAUUGAUCUUUUACCACAAGUGAAACAAUUUGUAACCUUGCUAGAAUAAAAUUCCGUUUCUAGCUUCUACUUUAUUGCUUUAUUAAUAAGUUUUAAAGUUUUGAACAGAAAUGUUGACAUUAU